rnacentral:rRNA from 1 species
GUGGUUAGAGGUAAUAUGCCAAUCGAAACCGGAUAUAGCUGGUUCUCUCCGAAAUAUAUUUAGGUAUAGCGUCAAGUGUUCACUUAUGGGGGUAGAGCUACUGGAUGAAUGUUUUGGUCGUAAGACCAGGCAUUUAACCAAACUCCGAAUACCGUAAGUUUAAUAGCUUGGCAGUCAGUCCAGCCGGGCUAAGCUGGUUGGGCGAGAGGGAAAGACCCCGGACUCUCAUCUAAGGUCUCUAAUUUUUGUUAAGUGGGAAAGGUAGUGAUUUUCCAAAGACAGUCAGGAAGUUGGCUUAGAAGCAGCCAUCUUUUAAAGAAAGCGUAAUAGCUCACUGAUCGACUUUCCGGUGUAAACCGGAAUGAAGGAAGGUUGCGCCGAAAAUGUAUGGAGGCUAAAACAGAAAACCGAAGAUAGAGGUCUCAAUUUAUUGGGACGGUAGGAGAGCGUUCUGAUGGCGGUGAAGCCGAGGUGUAAACCGAAGUGGAGCUGUCAGAAGUGAGAAUGCAGGCAUGAGUAACGAAAUUCCGGUGAGAAUCCGGAACACCGAAAAACCUAAGGUUUCCUCAGCUACGUUGUUCGACUGAGGGUUAGGCGAUCCUAACAUAAAUUCCGUAUAAUGCGGGAGUAGUGGAUGGAUAACCGGUUAAUAUUCCGGUCCUUUUUUGUAUUCGUUUUAAGUUGGGGCAUGACGAGAUAUGGUAGAUUUAGAGCUCUAGUGAUUGAGCUUUUAAGUGUUUAGCUAGAAGAGAUUGGCAAAUCCGUUUCUUCGUUUUAAAGUGAAGCACGAAUAAAAUUCCGGCUUUGGCUGGGAGAUUGAAUUGACCCAUGUGUCCAAGAAAAGUGUCGCAACUAGAAUACAGAAAAUUCGUACUAAAACCAACACAGGUGGGUAGGUCGAGUAGACCAAGGUGUUUGGAAGAAAGAUGGUUAAGGAACUAGGCAAAUUAUCUGGGCGUAAGUUCUGCAAGAUGCCCUGCCCGGUUUAAAAACCGGGCUACAACAAAAGACUGCACGGCGACUGUUUAUCAAAAACACAGGUCCCUGCUAACCCGUAAGGGGAUGUAUAGGGGCUGAAACCUGACCAGUGCCAGAAGGUUAAAUGAACGGGUUUUUUCAGUUUACUGAAAGGGCCUGCGAUUGAAGCCCUGGUAAACGUCAGCAGUAACUCUAACUGUUCUAAGGUAGCGAAGUCCUUUGUCGGGUGAGUUCCGACCCGUAUGAAAGGUCCAACGACUGUGCAACUGUCUUAACCAUUUAUCCAGUGAAAUUGAAAGAGCGGUGAAGAUGCCGUUUAAUUACUGUAGGACAAAAAGACCCCAUGAAGCUUUACUGGAUCUUUACAUUGAUAAGAAAUUAAUGAUUGUCGAGAAUAGGAGGGAGUCUUCGGACGCCAGUGGAAUACCUCCCUUUGUUAAUUUUAAGUCUAACUUACUCUGACGCAAAUCAGAGAAGGACCGUGUAUGGUUGCCAGUUUGCCUGGGGCAGGCACCUGCUAAAAAGUAACGCGGGUACACUAAGGUCAACUUGGUCCGGCUGGAAAUCGGGCUGUAAGCGCAAAAGCAAAAGUUGGCUUGACUGCGAGACAAACUAGUCGAGUCACGUAAUGUUUGAUUUUCAAAUAAACGUGAUCCUGGUGGCUUGACCAUCAGGACAGGGUCGAAAGACGGUUUUAGUGAUCCUCGUGACCCAUUUGGUAUGGGCACGGGCUUAUUGGGUAAAAGCUACUCUGGGGAUAACAGGCUGGUCGCAUCCGAUAGUUCAUAUUGACGAUGCGGUUCGGCACCUUAGCCAAUUAAGGCUAUAGUCGGGGUGGGCGGAAGUAAUUCCGUCAGUCUGUUUUUAUAUAUAUCUAGCUCAUAACGGUGGACGCAUAGCAUGCCAACAUCGUGGGAAGUCUAAUAAAGAAAAGUCCAAAUUUUUUUUGAAAUUCUUUAUUAUGACCCCGUAACGACUUGUUUCUGAUAUUUAUUGAUUUACUAUCAGAACGGAUACCGGUGGAAGGCCGGUAUAAUACGCUAGCUCCUACUCUUUUAGCUUGGACAGUUAAAUGACAAGAGGAUGAAGGGAUAGUCUAAGUUUUACCUAUGUUUAGGUAAAUUAUGCGAUGUCGACUUGGCGCA